rnacentral:misc_RNA from 1 species
AACGCAUAUUGCGCCCGAGGCUUCGGCCGAGGGCAUGUCUGCCUCAGCGUCGGCGCACCCCCUCGUGGCCCUCCCCCGUUGUACUGCGGGGGCAGGGCCGCGGAUGUGGCCGCCUCGCAGCGCCGCUGCGGGCCGGCUGAAGCGAAGAGGUUUGAGCAGCGACCCCGUUCGAGGGCCGACGGCUUGGUAGGUUGGAUCGCCCAGCAUAUCGCCGCCGCCCGAGAGGUCCUGCUGGGAACCAGAGCGGAUGUUUUCCUCCCUCGCAAGAGGCGAGGAGAUCCCUCGACCAAAUUCAUCACUCUUCGACCUGAGCUCAGGCAAGACUACCCGCUGAACUUAA